AGUGAACGCUGGCGGUAGGCCUAACACAUGCAAGUCGAACGGCAGCACAGUAAGAGCUUGCUCUUACGGGUGGCGAGUGGCGGACGGGUGAGGAAUACAUCGGAAUCUACUUUUUCGUGGGGGAUAACGUAGGGAAACUUACGCUAUUACCGCAUACGACCUACGGGUGAAAGCAGGGGAUCUUCGGACCUUGCGCGAUUGAAUGAGCCGAUGUCGGAUUAGCUAGUUGGCGGGGUAAAGGCCCACCAAGGCGACGAUCCGUAGCUGGUCUGAGAGGAUGAUCAGCCACACUGGAACUGAGACACGGUCCAGACUCCUACGGGAGGCAGCAGUGGGGAAUAUUGGACAAUGGGCGCAAGCCUGAUCCAGCCAUACCGCGUGGGUGAAGAAGGCCUUCGGGUUGUAAAGCCCUUUUGUUGGGAAAGAAAAGCAGCAGGUUAAUACCCCGCUGUUCUGACGGUACCCAAAGAAUAAGCACCGGCUAACUUCGUG
rnacentral:rRNA from 1 species